CACCGCGGUUACACGGGGGGCUCAAAUUAAAAGAUUUCGGCGUAAAGAGUGGUUAAGAGAAAACAAUAAAAUAAAGCCAAAUAAUCUCAAAGCUGUUAUACGCACCUGAGAAACAAGAAACCCCCUCACGAAAGUAGCUUUACCCCCCCCCGAACCCACGGAAGCUAGGAUA
rnacentral:rRNA from 1 species